UACGGAGGGUGCGAGCGUUGUCCGGAAUCACUGGGCGUAAAGGGCGCGUAGGCGGCGCGGGUAGUCAUCGGUGAAAGCUCAGGGCUCAACUCUGAGUCGGCCGGUGAUACUCCCGUGCUCGAGCACUGUAGAGGCAGGUGGAAUUCCGGGUGUAGCGGUGGAAUGCGUAGAGAUCCGGAAGAACACCGGUGGCGAAGGCGGCCUGCUGGGCAGUAGCUGACGCUGAUGCGCGACAGCGUGGGGAGCAAACAGG
rnacentral:rRNA from 1 species